rnacentral:rRNA from 1 species
CCUACGGGAGGCAGCAGUGCGGAAUAUUGGUCAAUGGGCGAAACCCUGAACCAGCAAUGCCGCGUGAGCGACGAAGGCCUUCGGGUUGUUAAGCUCUGUCCUUGGGGAAGUUAGUGACGGUACCCAAGAAGUAAGCCACGGCUAACUACGUGCCAGCAGGCGCGGUAAU